GUGAGUGCACACGGCGCGCCGCGGGGACCGGCUCCUGCGAGCUGGUCGCGGGACCCGGGCACUCGGAAGGGCGGCGGGGAGGGGCGAAGGAGGGAGAAAGGGAGAGAUGCCAAGACCUCCUCUGUGGCUCCUGGGUAGGUCCCGGGCGGGCGCAGCCGAGGGGAGGCGGCGCGACACGCCGGCCAAAUGCACUGCCGGGAAGGACCGAAUCCCCCGAGCCCGCGCCGCUCCUGCGCCCGCACUGUCCCCUCUUCGCAGGCCGGCGUGGAAGGCGGGUUUCCUGAGAGGUGUAUGUCCCAGAAUACACUCUGCCCUCCUGGGAGGAAAAGGCGACGCCUACGGCAGAGGGCCGUCCCGCAUCAGAGGUUCCAGGAGCGUCAAAGCCGGACUUCAGAUCUGAGCGGCGGCGGAGCCACGCUUGUGUGGUGUCCGCGCCCAUCUGGAGGCGGGUGGCGGGACCUCCUCGCCAGCGGUCCCCGCCCUGGGCCGAAGCCAGGCUUUGGCAGCAGCGGGUCACAAUCGGGGACAGGGGUGGCCGGAGGGGGCCCGAGCAUCAGGCUUCCUGGUCGCUAGAGGUAUUUUUAAUUCCGCAGAAGAGACUCAGGACUCCUAACUCCCAGCACUGGGUGCAGGCUCAGAAGGGGACUGUGUCAGACUUACUUUGCGGCGCGGCCCAGCCUUUUGCGCGCGCAAAGUCUCGGGACCGCCGGCGUGGUUAGAAACGCGGCCUGGGCCGGUUGGCGGAAGGGGGCGCAAUGCGCACGGCCGCUUGAGGAGCUCUGUAAGCAUGGAGGGCGGAGGGCUAGCUGAACACCGGCAGAUCCGAGCGCGGGAUGGGGCCUGAUGUCUACACCAUCAUUUUUGGAGAAGCUGUCAACUCUGACAAAUGAAGGAAAGCGGAAGGCAGCGAGCCGCACCUGCGAAAAGGCCUGGAAUUCCAGGGCCAACCCCGCCCAUCUGUUCUUUUCUAAGAGUACUUGGACCCUGCUUGAUUGUUUGAGAUCCAGCGAUUGGAUUUUCUGAAAGUAAAUCUCAGAAAUGGAAAUUCACGCUCAUUACCUUGCACAAACAUUUUUAAUUUCUGAGUGGCCUGCAUUGAGCCUAGAGGCAAGAAUCCUUCUUGCUGGAGCCAUAGUCGAGCCUGUAAAAGCCGAAAACCUUCCGCUGAGGUUAGAAAGGCAAUAAUUUAGACACACAGAGAAAAUUCCUAGCUGGAAGACAAGAGAAAACGCUCCAAGUGAAGUUAGAAAAUUUACCUUUGUAUAAAAAUCCUUUGAACAUUAUUGGACGGCAAAUUACCUGUAAAAGAUGUAUGAGAAAAUCAAGGAAAUGUGGAGACCGGAUGUUUGAUGCCAUCAAAGCAUCGGUGUCAAUUUUUAAGGAAGAAAUAACACAUGUUGACAUGAAGAUUGAAGGUGGGAUCUCUCCUGUGCCGCAGACGGCACCAGAAACGGAAACACUAGCUCUUUUCUAACCGUGCUUCUCUCUCCACUGAACUGUUGGGUGGUGAAGUUAGUAUUUCAUUAGAUUUUUUUCCUUUUCUCUCUCUCUGCUGUACAUUCCAACCGGGAGCGUGAGGAUAGUAUGGUAGGUUGAAAAGUGGUCCCCCACAGAUGUGUCCACGUCCUAAACACCGGAACCUGCGAAUGUGAACUUGUUUGGAAAAAGGACUUUGCAGAUGUGAUUAAGGAGCUUGCGAUGAGGAGAUCAGCCUGGAUGAUCAAGUUAGGCCCUAAGUGCCAUCACAAGCAUCUUUAUAAGAGCAGCAGAGGGAGAUAAGGCAGGUGCACGCAGGAGAAGCCAGGGGAAGAUGGAGGCAGAGGUUAGAGUGAUGUGACCACAAGCCGAGGAAUGCCGAGGAGUGCCAGUAGCUGCCAGAAGCUACAAGAGUCAAGGAAGGAUCCUCCUGAGAGGCUGCGGAGGGAACGCAGCCCUGCCCAUACCUUGAUCUCAGACUUCCGGCCUCCA
rnacentral:lncRNA from 1 species